UGCUCACCCCACCUCCUUCCCCGAGCUCAGCUCAGCUCAGCUCGCUGCGGAGCCCAAUCUGCAAAACCCAGCCAAAACCCCGCCCGCCAUGGAGCUGCAGCUCGCCCCGCCCCUCGGCAGCCUCCGCCCCUUCGCCUCCAUCCACCACCGCCCCAAGGCCUCCACCUCCGCCACCGCCGCUCCCUCCACCUCCUCUUCCUCCGAGACCCUCAAGCCCCGCCCGCGCCUCCCACGCCAGAGCCCCGCCACCGCCGUCCACAGGCCCCGGCCCAGCCCCGCGCGCCUCCCCUCCCUCUGCACCGCCAUCGAGCGGCACGCCGCGGCGGGCCGACACGCGGAGGCCCUCGACGCGUUCCGCCUCGCCCGCGCGGCGUCGCCCUUCGCGCCGCUCCCGCCCGCCACCUACCACGCCCUGCUCGCUGCCGCCGCCGCGCUGCGGGAGCCCGGCGCGGUCGCGGCGGUGGCCUGGCACAUGGAGAGCUCGGGGGCCGAGGCGGACGCCUACACGCACAACCGCGUCCUCGGGGCGUACCUCAGCUGCGGGAUGCUCGGGGAGGCGCGGCGGGUGUUCGAGGGAAUGCCGGAGCGGAACGGCGUCACGUGGGGGAUCAUGAUGGGCGGGCUCGUCGACCGGGGACGCCCCCGCGCCGCGCUCGCGCUGUUCCGGGAGAUGUGGGAGGAGGAGGAGGGCAGCGGCGGCAGGGAGGCUCGGCCAAGGGUGGUCGUGGUGGCCAUCCGCACGGCCACGGCGUCCGGGUCGUUGCGAGCCGGGCGGCAGCUGCACUGCUGCGUCGUCAAGAUGGGUCCGUGCGAGGAUGAUGAAAGCGGCCGGUACCUCUCAUGCGCGCUGCUCGACAUGUACAGCAAGUGCGGGCGGGUCGACGAGGCGAGGCGGGUGUUUGAGGGAAUGGAACCUCGUCAGAGGACCAUCGUGGCAUGGAACUCCAUGUUAGCGGGAUACGUGCUCCACGGGCACAUCGAGGACGCGUUGGAUCUGUACAACGAGAUGCGCAGGAGCGGUGUUGACACGGACCAGUUCACGUUCUCCACGAUGCUGGGGGUGUUCUCUAGGCUGGGGCUGCUGGAGCACGCGAAGCAGGCGCAUGCUGGCCUGAUACAGAAAGGGUUGCCUUUGGACAUUGUAGGGAACACAGUGCUCGUUGACUUGUAUUGCAAGUGGGGGAGGAUGGAGGACGCGAGGAAUGUCUUUGAGAGGAUGCCUAAGAGGAACUUGAUCUCUUGGAAUGCUCUGAUAGCAGGAUACGGCUACCAUGGCAUGGGGGAUAAGGCGAUCGAGAUGUUCGAGAGGCUGGUAGCUGAAGGUGUUGUGCCAAACCAUGUGACGUUUCUAGCGGUACUGAAUGCAUGCCGGUUCUCUGGUCUUGUUGACAAAGGGAAGAGGAUUUUCCAGUUGAUGACUCGAAAUCCAAAAACGAAACCACGGGCUAUGCACUAUGCAUGUGUUAUUGAGCUUUUUGGUAGAGAAGGCCUGCUAGAUGAAGCCUAUUCAAUGAUAAGGAGAGCACCGUUCACCCCAACCGCUAACAUGUGGGGUGCCUUGCUCACUGCUAGCAGGGUCCAUAAGAAUAUGCAUCUUGCAAAAUUAGCUGCCGAGCAGCUAUUGGCGAUGGAGCCUGAGAAAAUAAACAAUUAUGCUGUGCUCCUCAACUUGUAUAUUAGCUCUGGUAGACAGGAUGAUGCUUGCAAGGUAGUUGAAACACUGAAGAGGAAAGGUCUAUGUAUCAGUAAUGCUUGUAGCUGGGUCACAGUCAAGAAAAAAGAUCAUAGGUUUUUCUUUAAAGAUAGUUUGCACCCACAAUGUGCUGAAAUAUACAGGAAGUUAGAUACAUUAAUGAUGGAGGUAAAAGAAGCUGGUUAUUUUGCUGAGGAGAAUGAGUUGCUCCCUGAUAUUCAUCCUGAUGAGCAGAACAUACCGAGAGCUUACCACAGUGAAAGACUGGCAGUUGCUUUUGGCCUUAUCAGCACGUCUCCUUGUACUCCCUUGCGGAUCACUCAAAGCCAUCGUUUGUGUCGUGACUGUCACAAGAUAAUCAAGUUUUUGACAAAAGUUACCAAGAGGGAAAUUGUUGUAAGGGAUGGUAGCAGAUUCCAUCACUUCAAACUGGGAACCUGCUCUUGCGGCGACUACUGGUAAUUGGGCACGAGAAGAAGUACAUAUGCUGCAGUUUGUUAACUUAAUGCAUAUUUUGCUGACAGCUAAUCACUCAAGAUAUUCUGAAGCCAAUUCUUUACUGGAAAUAACUUUGAUUAAUGGGGAGAAAGCAGUUUGGCCGGUCAUGAAUUCAUGAUGCUUCUGUAUUCUAUUUCUCUGCUACAUGUAAUCUUCCUUCAACA